UACAGGGGGUGCAAACGUUGCUCGGAAUUAUUGGGCGUAAAGCGCGCGUAGGCGGCUACUUAAGUCGGAUGUGAAAGCCCCUGGCUCAACUGGGGAAGUGCACCCGAAACUGAGUAGCUUGAGUGCAAAAGAGGGCCGCGGAAUUCCCGGUGUAGAGGUGAAAUUCGUAGAUAUCGGGAGGAACACCUGUGGCGAAAGCGGCUCACUGGACCACAACUGACGCUGAGGCGCGAAAGCUAGGGGAGCAAACAGG
rnacentral:rRNA from 1 species